UUCGAUUCCAACGAAUGAUGACGCUAAAGCUUCAAUCCGAUUAAUUCUUAACAAAUUAGUAUUUGCAAUUUGUGAGGGUCGUUCUAGCUAUAUACGAAAUUCUUGAUUAAAAAUAAGAUAAGUAAAUUUUUGGGGGAACUCCAUAGAAUAGAUUUAUUGCAUCGGUUAUUAUUCUUGAAUAGUACAAAAGAGAUAAAAAUAACUGUGGGGAUAUUAUGUGAUUAGUUGAUAUUCAAAAACAUACAAUUCAAAUAGGCAAGUCAAAAAACGAUGGUUGAAUCAAAAUAAUUCCUUUAAAAGUUUUAUUUAUUUCAAAGGGUAAUAUGAAUGUUCUAUUAUGUUCGAUCAAAACACUAAAAGGGUUGUACGAUAUAUCCGGUGUGGAGGUAGGCCAACAUUUCUAUUGGCAAAUAGGAAGUUUCCAAGUCCAUGCCUAAGUACUUAUUACUUAUUGGGUCGUAAUUGCUAUUUUAUUAGGGUCAGCCAUUAUAGCCGUUUGUAAUCCACAAACCAUUCCUACUGACGGUCAUAAUUUCUUUGAAUAUGUCCUUGAAUUCAUUCGGGACGUGAGCAAAACUCAUAUUGGAGAAAAAUAUGGUCCAUGGGUUCCCUUUAUUGGAACUAUGUUUCUAUUUAUUUUUGUUUCGAAUUGGUCAAGGGCUCUUUUACCUUGGAAAAUCAUACAGUUACCUCAUAGGGAGUUAGCUGCACUCACAAAUGAUAUAAAUACUAUGGUUGCUUUAGCUUUGCUCACUUCAGUAGCAUAUUUCUAUGCUAGCCUUACAAAAAAAGGAUUAUGUUAUUUCGGUAAAUACAUUCAACCAACUCCAAUCCUUUUACCCAUUAACAUCUUAGAAGAUUUCACAAAACCCUUAUCACUUAGUUUUUGACUUUUCGAAAAUAUUUUAGCUGAUGAAUUAGUAGUGGUUGUUCUUGUUUCUUUAGUACCUUCAUUAGUUCCUAUACCUAUCAUGUUCCUUGGAUUAUUUACAAGCGGUAUUCAAGCUCUUAUUUUGCAACCUUAGUUGUGGCUUAUAUAGGCGAAUCCAUGCAGGGUCAUCAUUGACUAGUUACAUAGUCUUAGCCUGAUGCAAUGUAUGCGCGACUCAAGGUAAUCCACUUAUGGAAAAUAUUUAAGGUAUAAAUAAAGGUAUAUACAAUCUAUCUAUAGUAAAAAAGAUUACGAUACGAUAUUAGGGAAUUGAGAAAAAAAAAAGGGAAAAAGAGCUAAAAGAUCAUUUUCCUAAAAUUGUUUUUUGGCCCAUUUAUACUCUCUCCAAUGAAUAUUCUCUUUAUAGUGUUUUGUUUAUUCAGUUCCAAUAUCCAAUAUAAAGUAUUAGGAGAUAUAUUAAAUAUUAGGAGUCAUACUCCUCCCAAUAAGAAUUUUUACUGUAUCUGUUUACGACAUGCGAUUUUUAUGGUAUAAGAAAAUAAUUCUCAUUUCAGUCGAUUUUAUUCCUUUUUUUUUUUUGGUCAAUCGGUAAAUUGAAUAAAUACUAAAUUACAUGAAUUUAGAUCAAUCAAAUACUGAUAUUUCUAUGUAAUGAUUUGGGCUAACAAAUUCUUCCAUUUAAAUUGAUUGUACCUAUCCUUGUGGGAUAAUAAAAAUGGAAUGGAAGAUUAAGGAUUUACAAAAAACGAGAUUUAUAAAAAAAAAAGAAAGAUUGGUUAGCGGAAGAAAAAUAAGAGGGGGGGGGGUUGAAACUAGGUGUAUGUAAUCUAAUCGCUAUAAGACAACUCUUGUCCAUGUUUCGAAGAAUGGAUUCUUGAAUCCCAUUGAAUCUAAGAUACAAUAUUUGGUUUACAGUAUGGGGGAAAGGCAUGUAUAUGUGAUAUUAGAUAUUAACUAGGUAUAUAUGAACGAAAGAUAUAUCUAAUUUGUCCUAAUUUAGAUAGGGAUUCCAAUGGAAGUCCUUCCGUUUCGUCUGUAAUUGUGAAUUGAAUAUUGAAUGAAUUUAAAUCAUGAAAAAGAACAAAGAAUGGUUCGAAAAAAAGAAUGAAAUGUAAAGGAAAGAACAAAAGUCAUACAGAUUCACAAAAACU
rnacentral:lncRNA from 1 species